rnacentral:rRNA from 1 species
AUUGAACGCUGGCGGCAGGCCUAACACAUGCAAGUCGAGCGAGCGGCGGAAGGGUGAGUAAUGUGUGGGAAACUGCCGGAUGGAGGGGGAUAACUACUGGAAACGGUAGCUAAUAACGCAUACCCUAAGAUGGGCCGAGAUGGGAUUAGCUGGUGGGUGGGGGAACGGCUCACCUAGGCGACGGUCCCUAGCUGGUCUGAGAGGAUGACCAGCCACACUGGAACUGAGACACGGUCCAGACUCCUACGGGAGGCAGCAGUGGGGAAUAUUGCGCAAUGGUCGCAAGCCUGAUGCAGCCAUGCCGCGUGUGUGAAGAAGGCCUUCGGGUUGUAAAGCACUUUCAGCGGGGAGGCGUUACCCGCAGAAGAAGCACCGGCUAACUCCGUGCCAGCCGCCGCGGUAAUUC